GGAGCUUGCUUCGAGACAGUUUAGUGGCGGACGGGUGAGUAACGCGUGAGCAACCUACCUCUCAGAGGGGGAUAACGUCUGGAAACGGACGCUAAUACCGCAUGACAUUUCAGAGCCGCAUGGUUUUGGAAUCAAAGGAGCAAUCCGCUGAGAGAUGGGCUCGCGUCCGAUUAGCCAGUUGGUGAGGUAACGGCCCACCAAAGCAAGGAUCGGUAGCCGGACUGAGAGGUUGAACGGCCGCAUUGGGACUGAGACACGGCCCAGACUCCUACGGGAGGCAGCAGUGGGGGAUAUUGCACAAUGGAGGAAACUCUGAUGCAGCAACGCCGCGUGAGGGAAGAAGGUCUUCGGAUUGUAAACCUUWRUCCUUGGUGACGAUAAUGACGGUAGCCAAGGAGGAAGCUCCGGCUAACUACGUGCCAGCAGCCGCGGUAAUACGUAGGGAGCGAGCGUUGUCCGGAUUUACUGGGUGUAAAGGGUGCGUAGGCGGCUCUGCAAGUCAGGUGUGAAAACCAUCGGCUUAACUGAUGGACUGCAUUUGAAACUGUGGAGCUUGAGUGGAGUAGAGGCAGACGGAAUUCCCGGUGUAGCGGUGAAAUGCGUAGAGAUCGGGAGGAACACCAGUGGCGAAGGCGGUCUGCUGGGCUUUAACUGACGCUGAGGCACGAAAGCAUGGGUAGCAAACAGGAUUAGAUACCCUGGUAGUCCAUGCCGUAWACGCUGUUCUAGGUGUGGGGGGUCUGACCCCCUCCGUGCCGGAGUUAACACAAUAAGUAAUCCACC
rnacentral:rRNA from 1 species